UUGAAGGAGUAAAGUGAGUUAUCUUAAUUUAGUAUUUUUUUAAAAAAAAAGCUAUAUUGUACUCAGAAAAUAUUUGAACUGUUUUGAAAAAGAUGAUGCAUCAGACUGUAUUAUCAUCAUUUGCAAGCAGUGAAUUUGAAUUAUAAUUAA